AAAAAUAGGCCUCAUCG
rnacentral:rRNA from 1 species